UACGUAGGGGGCAAGCGUUGUCCGGAGUUACUGGGCGUAAAGCGUACGCAGGCGGUCUUUUAAGUUUGGAGUGACAGUUGGUGGCUUAACUGCCAAAGUGCUUCGAAAACUGACAGACUUGAGGGCUUCAGAGGGACACGGAAUUCCGGGUGGAGUGGUGAAAUGCGUAGAGAUCCGGAGGAACACCAAAGGCGAAGGCAGUGUCCUGGGGAGUACCUGACGCUCAGGUGCGAAAGCCAGGGGAGCGAACGGG
rnacentral:rRNA from 1 species